UAACCGAACGCAUACUCUCGCACCCGGGUUGCCCGGUCGACCGGCGCUAUUUUGUACUGGGCUGCCAAAGUGUGUUCGCCGGCGACCAGUAGACAUGGCAAACGCCUGCUCUAGGGCUCCAAAGUGCGGAAAUGUGCCCGUUCACACGGAUCCAAAGUAGAAGAAGUCAUCUGGGCAUCAUUGCGUCGUGUUUGGAUGCCAAAACAACCAGCGGAAAAGGAGCAGGUUGCUUAGCGCUGUUUGCGAAGAGCACAACACACGUAGGGAAUCGUGCCGGUGCGGUGUUUUCAGCCUGCGCCGAUUUCCAUCCGCAACGAAGAAUGCCAAGCUGCGUCACCGGUGGAUAGCUGCAGUGAAUGGGAAGAACUACCGACCCAGUGAAAAUGCACGAUGUGCAGGUGGUGAAGGGCAGGCGUCUGCUAACCAGGCAGUCAAACGACCUCGCCAGUUGGUUGCCAAGCGCGGCCAACCCAGUAGAGACCAUUACAAACAAGACCAAACUGAAAGCGCAGAUGACAGUGUUCUGCGUGCUUUAAUAAUAUAUGGCACCAACACAGUGCUGUAAAUUCCUUCACAGGUUACGUACCAAAAAGCUCACAGGUGUCCUAGCAUAUAGCGCGCGGUUUGUACAAACGUAACGUAAUAGCGUACCUACCCGAUGUAUUCGCUUCUGCAGUCUGCACAGCACUCAGUGUGUCCAUUGUGGACUUGCACGAGGUCUUGAAAUUUGAUUGAAUCCAGACAGCGAAAAUGACAGGUUAGAAAAAACGUGAAACACGCCUUCCGUGCAGCUAAAAAGCCCAAGUUUCGCUUUCGCGCCGGGUCGCAUCUCCUGGCGUGGCAGCCCACUUUUACUUCGCGGCGCUUGGGAUAGAUGGCGCGACCGGCGCUCAUCAAUAUGGCGGCGCCCUUUGAAUUCACGGUGUUCUGGUGUAUAGACCAGAACACGCUAGUCUCGCACCCAGACUAACUGAACGCAUACUCUCGCACCCGGGUUGCCCGGUCGACCGGCGCCGUUUUGUACUGGGCUGCCAAAGUGUGUUCGCCGGCGACCAGUAGACAUGGCAAGCGCCAGCUCUGGGGCUCCAAAGUGCGGAAAUGUGCCCGUUCACACGGAUCCAAAGUAGAAGAAGUCAUCUGGGCAUCAUUGCGUCGUGUUUGGAUGCCAAAACAACCAGCGGAAAAGGAGCAGGUCGCUUGCGAAGAGCACAACACACGUAGGGAAUCGUGCCGGUGCGGUGUUUUCAGCCUGCGCCGAUUUCCAUCCGCAACGAAGAAUGCCAAGCUGCGCCACCGGUGGAUAGCUGCAGUGAAUAGGAAGAACUACCAACCCAGUGAAAAUGCACGAGUGGUGAAGGGCAGGCGUCUGCUAACUAGGCAGUCAAACGACCUCGCCAGUUGGUUGCCAAACGCGGCCAACCCAGUAGAGACCAUGACAAACAAGACCAAACUGAAAGUGCAGAUGACAGUGUUCUGCGUGCUUUAAUAAUAUAUGGCACCAACACAGUGCUGUAAAUUCCUUCACAGGUUACGUGCCAAAAAGCUCACACGUGUUAUAGCAUAUAGCGCGCGGUUUGUACAAACGUAAUAGCGUACCUACCCGAUGUAUUCGCUUCUGCAGUCUGCACACCACUCAGUGUGGCCAUUGCGGACUUGCAUGAGGUCUUGAAGUUUGAUUGAAUCCAGACAGCGAAAAUGACAGGUUAGAAAAAACGCGAAACACGCCUUCCGCCCAGCUAAAAAGCCCAAGUUUCGCUUUCGCGCCGGGUCGCAUCUCCCGGCGUGGCAGCCCAGGCCUGCUACUUCGCAGCGCUUGGGAUAGAUGGCGUGACCGGCGCUCAUCAAUAUGGCGGCGCCCUUUGA